UCGAGACCAGCCUGGCCAACAUGGCGAAACCCCAUCUCUACUAAAAAUACAAAAAUUAGCCCGGCGUGGUGACCCACGCCUGUAAUCCCAGCAACCCAGGAGGCUGAGGCAGGAUAAAUGCUUGAACCCAGGAGGUGGAGGUUGCAGUGAGCUGAGAUCGCGCCACUGCACUCCGGUCUGGAUGACAAAGCAAGACUCCUUCUCAAACAAACAAACAAAAAAUUGUGGUAAAACAGACAUAACAUAAAAUUUACCAUCUUAACCCUUUUUAAGUGUAAAGCUUAGUUGCAUUAAGUAAAUUUAUAAUACUGUGCGGCCAUUGCCACCAAGCAUCUUCAGAACUCUUUCCACCUUGUAAAGCUGAAGCUGUACACUCAUUCAACAACCUCCCACGAUCCCCUUCCAGCUCCUGCAACCACCUUUCCACUCUGUCACCAUGAAUUGGACUGCUCUAGGCCCCUCACGUGCUCUCAAUCCAUCACGACCCUUUCACGUGGAACCACUUAGCCCUUAAAAGGGCCAGGAACUCUGUCUUCGGGGAGCUGGGCUCUUAAGACACCAGUCGGCCAAUGCUCCCGGCCGAAUGAAAAAACCUCUUCCUUCUUUAAUCCGGUGUCUGAGGAGUUUUGUCUGCCGCUGGUCCUGUUACAUUUCUUGGUUCCCUGACUGGGAAACGAGGUGAUUAACGGACCGUUGAGGCAGCCCUUUAGGCCGCUUAGGCCUGCCCUGUGGAGCAUCCCUGCGGGGGACUCCGACCAGCUCCAGCAACGCGGAUCCUGAGAGCGCUCCCACGUAGGAAAUUGCCCCGGUGGAACGCCUCGUCAGAGCAGCGCGUGGCAGGCCCCGGUGGAGGUUCAACGCAAUGGCUGAACACCGGGAAGGAACUGGCACUGAACAUCUGGUCUGGACAUCUGAAACUUGCUAGAGACGGCUUGGCGCUUGAGGUUUUAUGUUGUUUUCAG
rnacentral:lncRNA from 10 species